rnacentral:snoRNA from 1 species
GAGAAGUGAUGACACAGAGACAGUUGGGUGUGUUUGGAUGGGGUGUGUGUGAGCAGGGGGGUGGGGGCUGUGUGAGGUGUGUGGGGGCUCCCCUGGGGGGCACUGAUGGCAGUGCUGAGCCAGGAGUGCAUCUGAGGCGUGUUGGGCACCUCGGGGCCCCUCUGCAACACUGCCGGUGAUUAAAGCCCCAAAAAAGCCCACCAGGAGAGCCCCAGGCAGCCCAAGUGUCUCCAGGGUCACCAGAUCCUGUGCUCUGAUCUCA